CUUCCUCAGCCCCUUCUCUCUCUCUCUCUCUCUCUCUCUCUCCUUCCUCUCUUCCUCCAAAUCACUCUCUCUCCAGUCUUCUCAUGUCCUCCUCACGGAUUCCUUCUUCCAAACCUUGAUUUUCCCUCGCCCCUUUCGAAUCAGAACCCCCUCUAAAUUGGAAGAUUCGAAUCCGGGUUUUCCGAUCUCUCACAGAUUUGUUCCAGUUCGUAUUCAUUUGCAGAUUUCUUCCAGUGCAGAUUUGCAGAUUUGUUACAGUUCAUAUUCAUUUGCACCAACACCCAAUAAGUUUCUGCAUCUUCAGUGCUCGCAACCAAUCGUUUCAGAUUUGUUCCAAAUUAAAAAAAAAAAAAUAUUAUGGAAAAAACCGAACCGGACUGAAACCGAACCGAAAAAAAUCAAAACCGAAAAAACCGAACCGAAAAAAAACCGAAAAAAUUCGAACCGAACUGAACCGAAAUUUCGGUUCGGUUUCGGUUUUGACUAAAAACCGAACCGUUUCAAACCGAACCCAGCCCUAAUUCAUUUUAUCUUUUAUUUUAUUUUUAUUAUUAAAACUCAAAAUUUUCAAGAUAUUUUCUUUAGUUUUUUUUAGAAUUAAUGAUUUAUAAUGUAACAGCCCGUUUUUAAAAUUGGUGUGGGACCCACCACAGUGUGGUGUUUGUAAACCGGCCCACUGUUUUUCUUCCCACUCUGUGAUCUCUCUUUGGAUCCCUCUCUCUCCAACUCUCUUCUCCUCUCAAACUCACUCUCUCUCUCUCUCUCUAGGAUGGGUGCCAAUCACCAUCAUCUUCAUCAUCUAAGCCAAAUUCGUCCCCCAAAUUACCGAAAUCACAACAUGUGGAGCUUGGUGAGCAACAUGCUGCCCUUGCAUGUGAGGAUCUAUGUUGGGUUAAGUAAAACUCACCACACCGAAUCAUUCCGACGAAUUUGAGUUCAAUCUUGAGGGAUUUAGACUUAAUCGAGCUCAUGAUCGUCUUCAAUGGUUUCCAGGAGUUAAAAGCGAGGCAUUCGAUCCCCGAGUCAGUGUACCUUUGCGUAGGUUUGCAUUCAUGAGAGUCGUGUGGAGAGCAAGUCUAACAACACUUUUGAUGACCAUCCGACCUCUGGACUUGGUAGUCCUUGCGUGAUCUAUGUGAUGGAACUUGAUAUUCCUUCAGUAAUGGAAAACGAUGGAAUUGUUUUAGAGUAUGCUGUGGACAAGGAGCUUGAAGAUGUGAGUAAAUUUCCACUUCUUUUAUGGUGACAAUGUGUGUGCAUUAUAAUUAAAGAAUUCAAACACCUAAAAAUGCAAGGCAUCAUUAUCUUCUGCCCAUAAUUUGAGCCGAUAACGCCAUUCCGUAUGAUUAUGCAUCGGUAAUUUAAGCUUAGAAGCUGAAUGACGAGUUGUAGCUAAGAAACUGAACAUCUGGUGUCUAUUUUGUUUAUACAGUU
rnacentral:sRNA from 1 species